ACAGGCUGACAUCCAGCCAAUCAUAUGUGCUCUUACAAAACGUCACUUGUUGCUAGGAGUGUUGCUUUACCUGAAAAUCUUACCUAGCCAAUCAGAUAUAUCCCCUGAGAAACCUCACUGGAAAAAAAGUGUAUUGACAAGUAGGAAGUGAGGACCCGCCCACAGAGCGAUGCUGUCCCGAAGAUGUUAAUGUCCCGCGCUGCCAUACAGGAAAGCCCCGCCCACAGAGCAACAUGUGGCCAAUCAGAUUUUAAUCUUGAGAGACUUUACGUGAUAUUUCCGAAGAUCCGCCCAUGAGCAACAUCCAGGAUAAUUAGGGCUCUAGGAAAUGAAAGAAUAAUUGAUAAGUGAAGACCAUCUGAGGAUUAUGGAACCCAGCUGAUUUUUAGGAGAGUUGACAAUUCACAUCCUGGAUAAAUCUCUCCUUUUCUUCUCCCGCAUCUGAUGUGCUGACAAGCCGCAUCAGUAUGACACAGAGGAAGAAAGAAGCUGCAGAUGCUCCUCCUCUUCUAAGGAAAGAAGACCUGCAGAAAGUUGCUCCAGUAAGAUGUAAUAUAGAGUUUCAUAGAGGGAAAUGUACUAGUGACUUAUGCAGAAAUAUAUUAUCAACUAUUAAAAUAAAUAAAUGA